rnacentral:rRNA from 1 species
CGACGGCAGCACGGAGCUUGCUCUGGUGGCGAGUGGCGAACGGGUGAGUAAUGCGUCGGAACGUAUCCACUAAUGGGGGAUAACGCAUCGAAAGAUGUGCUAAUACCGCAUACGACCUACGGGAGAAAGCAGGGGACCCUCGGGCCUUGCGUUAGUGGAGCGGCCGACGUCUGAUUAGCUAGUUGGUGAGGUAAAGGCUCACCAAGGCGACGAUCAGUAGCUGGUCUGAGAGGAUGAUCAGCCACACUGGAACUGAGACACGGUCCAGACUCCUACGGGAGGCAGCAGUGGGGAAUUUUGGACAAUGGGCGCAAGCCUGAUCCAGCCAUUCCGCGUGAGUGAAGAAGGCCCUCGGGUUGUAAAGCUCUUUCAGCAGGGAAGAAACGAUACGGGUUAAUAAGCCGUAUUAAUGACGGUACCUGCAGAAGAAGCACCGGCUAACUACGUGCCAGCAGCCGCGGUAAUACGUAGGGUGCGAGCGUUAAUCGGAAUUACUGGGCGUAAAGCGUGCGCAGGCGGUUUAUCAAGUCUGAUGUGAAAGCCCCGGGCUUAACCUGGGAACUGCGUUGGAAACUGAUAAACUAGAGUACGGCAGAGGGGGGUAGAAUUCCACGUGUAGCAGUGAAAUGCGUAGAUAUGUGGAGGAAUACCGAUGGCGAAGGCAGCCCCCUGGGUCGAUACUGACGCUCAUGCACGAAAG